UACGUAGGGUGCGAGCGUUAAUCGGAAUUACUGGGCGUAAAGCGUGCGCAGGCGGUUCGUUGUGUCCGAUGUGAAAGCCCCGGGCUUAACCUGGGAAUGGCAUUGGAAACUGGCGAGCUUGAGUGCGGCAGAGGGGGGUGGAAUUCCGCGUGUAGCAGUGAAAUGCGUAGAGAUGCGGAGGAACACCGAUGGCGAAGGCAGCCCCGUGGGUCGACACUGACGCUCAGGCACGAAAGCGUGGGGAGCAAACAGG
rnacentral:rRNA from 1 species